rnacentral:rRNA from 1 species
GACGAACGCUGGCGGCGUGCUUAACACAUGCAAGUCGAACGGAAAGGCCCUGCUUGCAGGGUACUCGAGUGGCGAACGGGUGAGUAACACGUGGGUGAUCUGCCCUGCACUUCGGGAUAAGCCUGGGAAACUGGUUCUAAUACCGGAUAGGAGCCAUUUUUCGUAUGAUUGUUGGAAAGUUUUUUCGGUGUAGGAUGAGCUCGCGGCCUAUCAGCUUGUUGGUGGGGUAAUGGCCUACCAAGGCGGCGACGGGUAGCCGGCCUGAGAGGGUGGACGGCCACAUUGGGACUGAGAUACGGCCCAGACUCCUACGGGAGGCAGCAGUGGGGAAUAGUGCACAAUGGGCGAAAGGCUGAUGCAGCGACGACGCGUGGGGGAUGACGGACGUAGGGUUGUAAACUCCAUUCGCUAGGGACGAAGCUUUUUGUGAAGGUAACUAGAUAAGAAGCACCGGCUAACUACGUG